UUUGAAAAUCUGAUCUUCAAAAUGGAGGAAAGAAUGUUGCUCUCAUUGAUGGUCUUUUCCUCACUCGUAGUAUUAGCAGAAACUAUUGCUCAAAAGCCUGCUAUUGAAAUCUACAGCCUCCACGUGGACUGCAAAGUUACAUCACGAUUUGCCCACACCAUCAUCACCAGCAAAAUUGUCAACCGAGCUAAUGAGUCCAAAGAAGCAACCUUUGAAGUGGAGUUACCCAAGACAGCCUUCAUCACCAACUUCUCCAUGUCCAUCGAUGGUAAAGUAUACCCAGGAAUCAUAAUGGAGAAAGCUUCUGCUCAAAAGGAAUAUGAUGUUGCAGUCUCACGCGGGCAGAGCGCUGGCCUUGUCAAAAUCACAGGCAGAAAACUGGAGCAGUUUCACGUGUCCAUCAGCGUUGCAGCCUCCAGCAAAGUCACUUUUGAGCUGACAUAUGAGGAACUAUUGAAGCGGCAGCUGGGGAAGUUCGAGCUGCUAAUCAAGGUCCAACCAAAGCAGCUUGUUAAGCAUUUCCAGAUUGAUGUACACAUCUUUGAGCCCCAAGGCAUACGUUUCUUGGAGACAGACAGUACCUUCAUGACUAAUGAGUUAUCUGAGGCACUCACCACAGUACAGAGUGUAAAAAAGGCUCAUAUUUUAUUUAAGCCAACUGUAGAUCAACAGAAGGCAAAUCCUGAACUCAAUGAAACCCUUCUCAACGGUGACUUUAUUGUGCGUUAUGAUGUCGAGAGAGGUGCCACUGCUGGUGAUAUACAGAUUGUCAAUGGGUAUUUUGUGCAUUACUUUGCACCUCGUGAAAUGCCAGUGAUUCCCAAAAAUGUCGUCUUUGUUAUAGAUGGAAGUGGCUCCAUGGCAGGCAGAAAAAUUGAGCAGACCAGGGGUGCCCUGUUGAAGAUUUUGCAAGACCUCCGCCCCGAAGAUCAUUUCAGCUUUAUCACCUUUAAAAGCAGAGUGAUGGAGUGGAAGAGCAAUUUGCUGCAAGCCACUCCAGAGAACCUGGCGAGUGCUGCAGGAUUCGUGCAAACUCUUUCUGCUAGUGGAGGCACAGACAUCAACGGUGCCCUGCUGACGGCCGUGAGCAUGCUGGAGAAAGCUGAGGGGCUGCCAGAGCGGAGCAUCUCCAUGAUUAUUCUGCUGACAGAUGGCCAGCCCACUUCUGGUGAGAGGAAUGUGGAAGUAAUUCAAGAAAACAUUCAGAAAGCAAUCAAUGGGAAAUAUGCUCUUUUCUGCCUUGGCUUUGGGUUUGAUGUCAGUUAUAAAUUCCUGGAGAAAAUGGCCCUAAGCAAUGGAGGAAUAGCACGUCGGAUAUAUGAAGAUGCGGAUGCAGCCUUGCAGCUCCAGGGCUUUUAUCAAGAGGUGGCUACCCCAAUAUUAAUGAAAAUUGAAAUGCAGUAUCCAGAAAAUGCUAUUGAAGGAUUAACCAAGAACAAUUUCGAACUGUUUUUUGAAGGAUCUGAAAUUAUAGUAUCUGGAAAAAUUAGUAAUGACCUUGAUCUUUUGCCAGUAGAAAUUAAAGCUCAGACACAUACUAGUGACUUGACUCUUAAAGAAGCAGCAAAUGUUGAAGAGAAGGAGCAAAUAUUUCAAAAUCAGAGUUACAUCUUUGGAAAUUUCAUAGAGAGACUGUGGGCUUACUUAACCAUUCAGCAGCUUCUGGAAAAAUCUAUUUCAGCACAAGAAGAGGACCAGAAAAAACUGAAGGCACAAGCCUUAGAGCUGUCUCUGCAGUACAGCUUCGUUACACCCCUCACUUCCAUGGUGGUCACCAAACCUACUGGCCAUCAGCAGAUGGAGCUGGCCAACAAACCCACGGAAGCUGAGAAUGAGAAGCUCCGCAGUAUUCCAGUAAGAGCUCAUCAAGGACUGAGGAGUGGAGCUGCUGUUAUUUCAGCUGUCAGGCUAAGAGAAAGAAUGAGAGUACAACCUACUGCCAUUGAAUAUCCACAGCUUAUCUUGCAAUUACCCCAACAAAAUGAAAUAAUCUGCUUAAAUACUGGUGGAAAAGCACAACCCUCUGUUCACCUGCUGUCAGAUCCAGAGCACGGACUCACUGUGACGGGGAAACUUGGGGACAGAACAAAUCACUUUGUGCAUUUUGAAAUUACCUACAUGAACCCCCCUGCACAAAUCCACAUCUCCAUGGAUGAGAUUGUCCUCAGCCAUAAUAACGAGAGCACUCGGAUGCCAUGGACAAAGUCAGCCACCUCCACUGUCCAAGGGCUGAAAGUCUCAGUGGAAAAGGAAAGGAGUGUCACAGCACUGUUGACUGAUACAGUCACAGUAACAGUUUCCUUUAUAAAGUUUCCAGAUGGUUUCCUUGGGCUGUAUUUCCUGAACACAGACCGUUUUUCUGACAAAGUCAGUGGAGUUCUGGGUCAAUUUUAUUCAAAAGCACAAUUUGAGAAUAAUUCCAACAUCAGUCAGAGAGCUGAUGAAAGACUCCUGAAUGUGUCUGGACUUGAGCACAAAGCCACCAGCAGUGUCAAUGGGAGUUUCUCAGGCUGCCUCUGAAGCCACACAAAAGCAGACUGCAGCCCCUGGGGUCAACUUCUGGGUGACAAUUUGGCCACAGCCAACAAGAUUCCUGCCACUUCCACAGAUGUGCCUCAUCCCUACAAACACCCUGUAUAGCCAUGAGUUUGGAGGAAGUUAUAGUUGUUUAAAACAGAUUGGAAACAAUAUAGUCUGUAUGAACACCAUCUAUCAGCCCAGCUCCAUUGUUAUGAACAAACCAGCAAGGAAUAUCAACACCGUGUCUAGGAUCUCUUCUGUAAUCCUUCUGCCAGCCCCUGGAAGGGAAAACACAGUCAUGGGAGCAUUGAAGCAGAAACUGCACUACAACAAGGUAAUCUUUGCUAAGGACUUUAUUAUUUUUUACCUUGUUACUCUCAGUUCAUUGUUUUUAACAAUCAUUGUGGCAUCUGGUUUCUUGGGAUCAGAUCCAGGAUGAAUUUCAAGGAUGGUGAAGUCAAUGGGGUGGAAAAACUGUCCUAAAAAUAGAAGCCAAAAUUACCACUUCUGGAAUGUUGCACAUAUUAAAACAAACAAAACAGAAAUCCCAGAACUUCUACAUUCCCAUGCUGUUUUCCAUGUUUUCUCAGGGUUUUCAAUGGAUAUGCAAACACCAAGUUUGGUGUAAGGUUAAACAUAUACUAUGGUAUUAUUUAGUUUUUAUAAACCUGAAUUCUGUGCACAUGUUCUGGAUGUAAGGUCCAACUUUUGAGUGCCCAGGAAGAUUAACCUUUUCUAGAUAUCCUUCAAGAUAUCCACACUUUGUGUCUUAUCUGUUCAGUUGUAUUUAUUAGAUACUCUCAAAGUCUUUAGGUUUUAUUUAUCAAAUAAUGCACAUAUUGAUCUCUCCCAUUUUUUUAUGUGAUUAUGCUCAGAACAAGGAUGACAUAUAAGGAAUUUUUUUACACUCCUGCCAGGAUUAGCUUUCACACUUCCACUUUUGCCCUGCCUGGGCUGGUGCAGGAUGCUGUUGGUGCUUUAGGUGCUAUAAAGAGCACAGAUUUUAGAUUAUUUAGUGAAGUACAGGUGCGAAGUCAGAGAUGAUGAGAGGGGCAACGAGAUGUGUAAGUCAGUGACCUGUGUCACUCUGUACUCACAGGUCAUGUGGCAUUUUGCAAUUUUCUUGCUAUUUGCAAUUUAUACCAUAGCUGAACAACUUAUCUGUGGAGAAGUCCUUUAGCCUGAGAAGACUGGAGCAGAAAAGCAUAAAUAACAUUCUGUCCUUAUUCUGCUCUUUUUCUGUUUGGUUGCAGCACUCUGCAUGACACACAGACCUAAAAUGUACUGCCAUGGAUACCUCAAAGUACAGACUGAGACUGAGAAGUCUUAAGUUCUCAGCAGUUCAUUAUUUUCCACAAUGAUUAAACUUACUGACUUAAAACAAAUGUUUUCUGUCCUUACCUGAUUUCCUAAGUGAAAACUGGAAGGGAAGAGAAAAUGGCUGCUCUCUGUGCAUUUUCCAACAGAGAAUGCAGGCCACCAAACCCUCUGCACUGGCAGAAAAUGGGAUUCCAUGGGGUCAAAUUUUGGAUCCCUGAAUUACCAACUUCACCUUCUUCCAGAGUAAAAAAUGAUAGCUAACAUGAGGAGAGCCUUAGGCUAUACAAGGCAUUCUGUGAUUUUAAUAUAUGCUACUAAAUAAAAAUACACCUUCACAACUUCUUUUCUUACAAGGAUGUACUAAUUGAGGUUUAGUAAAUUUUGUUUGAGAAAACGUGUAUUUUCUCAGAGUGCUUGUACUUAGGUGAUAAGAUGAAAGGAGAGAUCAAACCAUCCAAGAGACUGAAAGAAUAGUGUAGUAAGAAAAAAAGUAUCUAUAGAUGGGAUUUAGUAAGUUAAGGAGGCUUUAAAGAUGCCAGUGAGGGCAAUGGAUGCUAGUGAUUUCAGCAGCAGCAGAGGAAUCUAUAAAAAGAUAAUGCAUAAAGUCUGAGUCCAGUAUAUUUUGUCAGAAAUCUUGAGAGUCAAUCAAUGUCACCUCAGUUCCCUCCACGAUCUCAGUUCAGAAAGACUAAGCACAAGAUUGUGUCUACAAGUCAUGUAGCCUCAUAAGGAAGGGCAAGCAUGCAAACACCAAAAUGGACUAGAUGAUCUUUCGAGGUCCCUUCCAACCCCUAGGAUUCUAUGAUUCUAUGAAGUCAUACCUAAUAAUCCAUGGGUCUGUUCAGACAGCUUAUCACUUUCCAAUGUAUACAGGCCUAGGAAGUCUUGGUGGAGAGGGUGUUUCUUCCAUACUUGGUGCAAAACAAUAACAAAUGAGGCACCACUGUCCAUUGUGAGUACCACAUUUUUUUUUCUGUUAAUUAUCAAAGUAAAACUGAGGAAAAAAGAAACACUUGACUUAGGGCAUUGUGCUUCCCAGAGUUCAAAGCAAUGAGAAGAAACUUAAGAAGAAACAUGUCCAACAAACAAACAUGGCUUUACACAUUGCUCAGUGUUCUUUAAAGAAAAGGUUUUGCUGCCUAGCUUGAUCCAUGUGAAUUUCUGUGUGUUCACAGACAGCCCAAGACUCAUGCUAAAUAAAACUGUAAAAGGCCACCUUGCCUUUCAACUUGUCAGCAAGGUGUUUCUACCAAAACUCAUCCUCUAAGAGCGUAAUUAAUCACAAAUAGGCUAGUAAUAUGUACAGACAGCACCUCAUGCUCAGUAAUAAAAAUGUUAUUGACAAAACCAUCACUUCUUUGCCUGGGUGCUGCCUGGCACCUUUCCCUUCUGUUUUACAGAAAAGAGAACUUCUGAACUGACUAGGCUAGUGCCAGAAUAAAGCAGAUUUGCUUCAGAUUGUGUUAGUGAUGAUACCAAUGUGGCUGCCAUAAUAAAAGAAUAAUAAACAUGUUGUGUGAAUAA